rnacentral:lncRNA from 1 species
CCCAAGGACACAUCACACCAAUCCGCCAAUUCUGUAAACGACUCAUCUCUAAAGGCCUCAAAACCACUCUCACUCUCACCACUUUCAUCUUCAACUCCAUCAAACCUGACCCAUCUGGUCCAGUCUCCAUAGCCACCAUCUCCGACGGCGAUGACGAUCACGGCUUCGACCCAUCUGGCUCCAUCCAUGACUACCUCCAAAACUUCAAAACCUUCGGCUCCAGAACCAUAGCAGACAUCAUCCGCAAACACCAGACAAGUGAUAACCCCAUCACUUGUAUUGUCUAUGAUGCUUUCAUGCCAUGGGCACUCGACGUUGCCCGAGAGUUUGGUUUAGCUGCUACCCCUUUCUUUACGCAGUCAUGUGCUGUUAACUUCGUUUACUAUCUUUCUUACAUAAACGAUGGAAUCUUGAAGCUUCCCGUUGUAGACUUGCCUUUUCUUGAGCUCCAAGAUUUGCCUUCUUUUUUGUCUGUUUCUGGAUCUUAUCCUGCUUACUUUGAGAUGGUGCUCCAACAGUUUACAAACUUUGAAAAAGCUGAUUUCAUACUCGUUAAUACCUUCCAAGAGCUGGAGCCUCAUGUUAGAUCUCUCUUCUUACAACUUUCUCAACCAUGUCGUUUUCUUGUUUAUGUCCUAAUUACUAUGUAUUUGUCCUAAUUAGUCUUUUCCGUUACAGGAGAAAGAGUUGUUGUCAAACGUUUGUCAUGUAUUGACAAUUGGUCCGACUAUUCCAUCGAUGUACUUAGACCAAACGAUCAAAUCAGACACGGCCUACGAUUUGAAUAUCUUUGAUUCAAAAGAUGCUGCCUUCUGCACUAGCUGGCUGGACACAAGGCCACAAGGGUCGGUGGUGUAUGUAGCAUUUGGUAGCUUGGCUGAGCUGAACAAUGCGCAGAUGGAGGAGCUUGCUUCAGCAGUAAGCAACUUCAACUUCUUGUGGGUUGUCAGAGGUUCAGAGGAGGCAAAACUGCCAUCAGGGUUUCUUGAGACAGUGGGUAAAGACAAGGGUUUGGUCUUGAAAUGGAGUCCUCAGCUUGAAGUUCUAUCAAACAAAGCCAUCUGUUGUUUCUUGACUCACUGUGGCUGGAACUCAACUAUGGAGGCAUUAACUUUUGGAGUACCCAUGGUGGCUAUGCCUCAGUGGACCGAUCAACCUAUGAACGCAAAGUACAUACAAGAUGUGUGGAAGGCUGGAGUCUGUGUGAAGAUAGACAAUGAGAGUGGGAUUGCGAAGAGAGGGGAGAUUGAGUUUAGCAUUAAGGAAGUGAUGGAAGGAGAGAAGAGCGGAGAGAUGAAGGAGAAUGCGAAGAAAUGGAGAGACUUGGCUGUCAAGUCACUCAGUGAAGGAGGCUCUACAGAUGUUAACAUUGACACAUUUGUAUCAAAGGUCCAGAGCAAAUAAGUUAUCAGAUGAAGCAGCAAAUAUCUCUUCUAUAAUGUCUUAUUGUGUCAGUCUUUCGUUCAGUGCAAUUUUAUGUUGAUUCUUCAUUUGGUUACUUCCCAAUAUUACAAUGUUUUCUACCAUAUUGUCUUUGUUUUAAUAGAUUUGCUGCUUUCAUGUGUUUAUCAUCCCUCUUCAGUACUAUCCAUUUUUCGAUUUAACUAUUUUGGCAUUUCAGUAACAACGAACAGGAACUAGGCUCAAUAGGCAGAUAUUGAUCCUAGUUCUCUUGCAUCACCAUGAAUGGCCAUCUUCUUCUGGCAUUUGACAUGUAGGAUUUCUAGCAACCAGAGAUUUAUAUAUUCUUGCCUUCCACCUGAUUUGUUAAUUCUGUUACAACCCUGCCAUUAAGUUUGCGUCUGAAUCAUCAUCUACAGAUUAUUUGAAAGAGCCAAGAUUAUUAUUCUGAAACAAUCCCAGCUUGAAGUUCUAUCAAACAAAGCCAUUGGUUGUUUCUUGACUUAUUGUGGCUGGAACUCAACUAUGGAGGCAUUGACCUUUGGAGUUCCCAUGGUGGCUAUGCGUCAAUGGACCGAUCGCAAGAACGAUGACUGAGAUACCAAAAGCAUGCAGAUCAGAAGAUGAGGGGAAAGUGACUUGAUAGAUCUAAGUGGGUUGAUAGAUUGAAAAUAAAAUUCCAGUGUUGGCAAAGACUAGCUUGAGUAUUGGUGAGGACGAGAGGAUAUGAACUCAUCCAGAGAGAAGGAGCUAUCAAACGAUGCAACAGUUAGAAAGAUCCGGUACAGAAGGUGGUGUAUCGAUGUUUUAUAGGCUGAUAGCACUAACGUGUCUUCAUUGAUGUUUAUUUUCGUUUAGUUUCUAAUUAUACAUUAUAUAUAGGGACUCUUAUAUAAUAUAUAUAUAUAUAUAUAUAUAUAUAUAUAUAUAUAUCAUGUUUCAAUGAUGAAAUAUGUUCCUAGUUUUCAAAGUGUGAAAACAACAUUCCCGCUUAACCCUAUUUCCAUAACCAUAAUAGCUACGUACAAAUGAACCGAGAAGGAGCAACAAAUCUUGUCCAGUGAUCAUAUUUAAUCCUGAUUUAUCACAAGCAUGAUUCUUAGCAUAAAUGAUAGAUAACAAAGUUGUGACAUGAUCAUGACUAAAACUGAUGAAAACACAUAUUUUGACGGGUUACAAUAUAUGAUUUUAGGCAUGUUAUUUAACAUGUAUAAUUUUUACAAUAUUUCACACUUACAGUUACAGAUUCCAGAGUUACAAUGGGUUUAAGUGGUAAAAUAGAAAACGCACACACACACACAUCAUCUAAUAUUUAUGGAUUUCCUUGAAGAACUAUCGAAGUUUUUGAAAUCUAUUCAAGGCCCAAAACAAAACCGAAAUUUUUUCUUGACCCAAAUAGGGGAUAACUUUUCGAAUUGUUUAAUCUCUGGAGCUAUAUAUAAUAAUUAUUUUGACCCAAAACCAAUAUUUAUUCAUACUAAUCGCUGUCUUCAAGCUACCUCAAACUUAAUCCAUUGAUGUAUAUGUCUAUAUGGAUUGUUUUGCUAAAUCAAUACCCAUUGUAGAUAAUGAACUCUUAUCCUACGUUGCUCAAUGUUCUAGUCGGAAGCAAAUAUUACUGAUUCACGCAUGAGCUACGUACCCAUCAAAAUAUAUGACAAAAACGUCCAGAACAAAUACUAAUUAUCAGUGAUAUUAAAGAAUAACUAGUUUAUGUGAACAAAUUAUCCGUCUCUAGGCUUUUUCCUUCUUAUGGAUUCUUUAAGGCAGCUUCUAAAAAAGAAAAAAUAAUAAGAAAAACUAGAAAUAUAAUGUGGAAAAUGAUCUACUUCUGUUUUUUAUACAAAUACAGCUAUCUUCUGUUUUUUAUACAAACUCACCAACUCAUUUCAAAUAUAGAUCGGAGGAUGGCUCAGUUGUUAUUAAGAUUAAUUUAAAGUUUUUCAGCCACUAACAAUCUUGAAAUUUUGGUUAAAGAUAAUACAAAACCAAACCGUACUCUUCCCUUCGCUCUUCGUCAUCUUCCCUUCGCUCUUCGUCGUUCGUAAACCUUUUCUUUUUUUGAACAAAGAAGUACUCAUUUCUUUCUUCCUUCGCCGUUCACUCUCCUUCAGUUCUUCGUUCAAGGUAAUUUUUUGUUUUUGUUUUUUUCUUAAAAUUCUUUAACCUAUAUAUCGAUUAUAUUUAACUUGAUAUUGUAUUUUCUUACGUAUUUUUAUAGAUGUCUUCUCCUGAUAAUAACGGUUCGGAUUCAGUGGAAAACCAACUCUUCGUGCUGCUAGCGUUUGUAUUGAUAAACAUAGGCUUAGGUGCGGUAUUGUACUGCUUAGUUAGAUUAAUAAGAAUGUUUUAUGCUACUCAAUCUCCCGUACCAAAUAUGAGUACUGGAGAUAUAGAGUUAGUUCCUAUACUAAGAGAAAAUUUCCUAUUUGUGCAUGGGGAAAGUGAAUGUAUAAUUUGCUUAGAAGAGUUUGCACCUAACGUCUUAUUGGCAGAUACGAUAUGUGGGCAUGCAUUCCAUUUAUAUUGUUUACGUAGGUGGAAUACAAACAGUUGUCCAAUGUGUCGUAGAAAUUUAGUUUAGUUUUCUGUAAAUAGAAUAUUGUAUGUAUUUGUUGAUUAAAAAAAUAUUGUAUGUAUUUAUGAAUAAAGGAUUAUGUUCGUCCAUCAACUUUGUUACAGCGCAUUAAUUCAUACAAUGUUGUUCUAAAAAAAAAGAAUAUUACGUAAUAUUUAACAAAGACUAUCCACAUAAAUAUCCCAAUAUAUAAAAGAGUGGGUUAUGUUCAAAAAAAUAUAUAUAUAAAAGAGUGGGUUUGAGGGUUAAAAGUCAACCAAUGAAAAAGAGUUAUUUGGCCACGUCACUCAUUAGAAAAACCACAUCAGAAUAAAAAAAAUUAAAUCUGUAUAUUGACUUAUUGAGUCACUGACGAUUCUCUUCUCCAGUUCUCUCCCUCUCGAUCCGUUCAGUUCUGCUUCUCCCUAAUUAAUAGCAUCCAUUUACAACUAUCUCUAUCUCUACCUGUUAAAUUUCCAAACCACUACAUGUCUCUCCAUAACUCUCUUUCUCCUACUCGGAAGUCACCUUAAAAUCGAAAGAAUCAGUGGAUGACUCAUUUACUGAGAAAAAGGCUACAAAUCACCAUAUACGCUCAUUCAAAGAAGUCCCAACGACGCUCUCCUACCGCAAAGCAGAGACACUCACGCUUCUCUUCGUACGACUAGCCAAAUUUACGGCGUUAUGUCCGGUUGUCCUGUUCUCAUCCAGACUUUCUGCAAGAGAUCCUCGCCGUUGCAGGAUCUCAUCGGAGCUACAAUUCUCAUGGUAUUGCCAAAAAGAAGCUUAAAUGAUGUACGUAAUCUCUUAAUAAAAAAAAGUUAUCUAAUUUCAAAUUGGGGAUUGAUUCAUUGUUCAAGAUGGUUACAUGAGUCACGUCGAUGAUUCUUUUCCAGAUUUUAUAUGCUGUACAUUUGGUUUUACUUACAAUUCCUCAUCCUGAAAUUAUGACCAUCUCUUUUUUGUUAGUUAUUCUCGAUUUAUUAAUUGCAGUUAUAUAUAUAUAUAUAUAUAUAUAUAUAUUGGACUACUUUGUUCAUCAAGAAUACAUGAUCUCAAAAAAAAAAAAAAAAAAAAAAAAAAUAUAUAUAUAUAUAUAUAUAUAUAUAUACAUGAUCUCUACGUAAGUUCAUGGCUCUUGAGUAAACAUAAUUGUCUUACCAAAAUAUUCCCUUUUCUGGUAUCUCAUUUACUUUAUUGUCGCUUUUGAUUUUGUUUUUUCCACUAUUAGGACAUAAUUACAGAGAGGCUGGACUUGCUGGUGUUUGGAGUUCUCAGUGGAUUCCUUUCAUUUUUAGCAUCCAUUUAUCUUAUUGACAGUCAUCUCUCUUGGCAUGUAAACAUUUAUUCUUGGGAAAACAUCUCUCUUUUUGAAUGUUUGAUCAGUCUUUGGAUGGAUUGUCUUCUGCUACUGUAGCCCGUUGCUUUCUGUUCUUGAUAGGUAAGUUAUGUAUCAUUAAGAAAAAACUUAAACAUCUAUAUGGGAUAAGCCUCUAGUGGUGGUUGGUAGAAAGUUGAUUGUUCUACGCUAUUGGCUAUUGGUAUGAUCUUUUCUCAUGGUUUUGAAGAUUUGGCAUCCCAAGCUUCGCUUAUAAGUUUAGGUAGAGAAGUAUUGGCAUUUGACCAAAAUCAUUGGUCUAGUGGUUGCCAUAUUUUCUUCAAUGUUCUAGUGGAUGUCAAUUCUAUGCAUUGCUUGGAGGAAAGCAACCAAGAUUUGCCACUUCCUUAGAGGUUGGAUAUUGUAACCAACUCGAGUUGUAGAUUUCGAAUUGUUGCCUCUUCGAUGCCAUCAGAAAUUAGUUAAGAUCAGUGUACUUGUGGAGGAUACUGACGAUAAACUUACAUUGAGUUGUAACCCAUUAAAGGAAAUAAGAUCAAGCUGUAGAUAUAUUUAGCACCCCUGUCAAAGAGCGGCUAUUUAUUCUGGACUUAUUUAACAUACAUAAUUAUUCGGAUCCAGAUAUUUUACAUGUCUUACUUUCUUCAACUAAUAUAAUAAAACAAAAUAAAAUAAAUGUAAAACAAAUAUUCUAGGCUUAUUUAACAUACAUAAUUAUUGGAUCAUACUUUAAUAAUACAAAUAAAAAUGGUUGGGUGUCGUAUCAAUAUUGUUGGAGAUGUUGCAAAAUUGACGUAUUCUAUAAUCAAUAACGUGUAUUUUUGUUAUAAAAAAUAUUGGUAAUAUAAUAAAAAUAAUGAUACAAUCUAGUGAAAAGAUUUAGAGUUGUGUGGACAUAAUAUGAUAUCUUCACUCGACACUUGAAUCAUGAUUUUUCAAUCUAUUUCAUAAAUUUUCUUUUCUUUUAAAGUUUUUAUUAUUUCCGAUUUUUUUUCUAACAAUGUGAUUAUGUUCUAAUUCUUGGUUUGAUAUGAAAAUUCUGUAAAGAAAAACUAUAUUUGGUAAACUAAAGAUUUGACUUUGUAUGUGAUAUUUUUUUUACCUCAGUCAUAACAAAUCACUAUUAUUUAUUGUCUUCAUGUAUAAAGGCCUCAACCAUGACUAAGUUUAGAAAGAUACGUAAUUUACAAUUUUUAAAAACAUUCUCAUUCCAACAUUUUCGUUGAUGUAAAUCUUAAUGAUUUUGUAAUUUUGUCUUUCAAAAUGAUAUUAUUCAGUAGUUGUAUCGAAGAUAAUUUCAGUUUACUAAUACACAAGUCAAAAAUACAUGAACUAAAACUGAGUUGAUUAAAAAAAUUAGUGUGAACAUAUCAAAUUCCUCGGUGAAGUUAACAAAAUAAUAUGUUAACACAUUAAUUGUUAAAUGAUUGUAAAACCGACACGUCAGCAUAAUCAAAUUGAAAUCGACGUGAAACUGACACGUGACAAAUAUAGUGUAAACGCAUUAAUUACAAAAGUUUAUAUGUUGCUAAAAAAAAAAGUUUAUCUUUUAAUAUAAGGGAUGGUUGACCAAAAAAAAAAAAUAUAUAUAUAUAUAUAUAUAUAUAUAUUAUUUUUGUGUUCCAGUGAGUUAAUACUCAUUUACCAUUAUCGAGAGAAAUAUUAUUUUAUUUUUUUGAACACACAUCGAGAGGAAGAUAAAACCAUAAAUAACAGAGAAAAAGUUUAUACUUUUCAGAGUAAAUUAGAGCGAAAGGUUUUCAUCUCUUUUCAACCUGAUCGGCUAAAUUUAAGUGAAAAUAAGAAUAAACAUGUUUACUCUAAUAUUUGCUGCGUUACUUUAUACCUUAUAAUCACACUCUAACUAGUUUUUUUCUUAAAUACUAACUCAAAUUGAUUAGUUGUUGACUCAAUUUGGUAUGUCUGACUUGCAUAAAAUUAAUAAGUUAAUAGUAUGACUGAAACUGUUGACUCAACAUGAACGUAACGUUCGUAAUAUAAUAUGACAAGCAAUAAACAAAUUAGUUGUUGACUCAAAUUGCCUUUAUAUACGACCAUCAAUAUCGAUGGAGAAAUCAAACUAAAAUAACAAUGGCUUUACAUCUACUCCUCGUUCUAUCUUCUUAUAUGUUUUUAACGCAAGUGGUUGAAGGAAACCUCGAUGUGAGAUUCUACAACUCCUACUGUGUGUUCAAUUUCUUAAGAUUUGAUAUUUUUCAAUUUUCAUUUGAAUUCAUUUUCUAAUCAAUUUUACAGGAUUUUGAUUGUGUUGAUGUAUACAAACAACCAGCUUUCCAACAUCCAUUGCUGAAACACCAUAAGAUUCAGGUAUGGUGGUCCUCUUGGUUCAAUUAAAUAUGAAAUAAUCUUUUAAGAGCAUGAUCUUCUAAAAUAAAUUCUAAUCCUUUUAUUGUGUGUAAAACUACAGGAAAUUUUCAACCUGGAUGAAAUUCUUGAUAGAAAAAAUGAAUAUGAAACGAAUUAUCAAAGUUGUCCAAAAGGAACAGUGCCACUCUUAAAACAAAUAAAUGGAACUAAGAGCGUUCAUCUUGACACAGUCGAGUAUCCGGGCCAACACGUAAAACUUCUUCUUUUCAUUAUGCACAAUAAGAUUAUACUACAAUUCUGAUCACUAACUCAAUUAGACAGUUUUCUGGAACAGAUAAAAUUUGACUUUCCCUUUUGUAGAUAGUCACGUUGUUGCCUUCUUAAUUACUACUAGCCUUGUUGAUUAUAUACAAUUGAGUCAAUUUUUUGGAAAUUAACUGUCAAUUUUGGUGAGUACAGUUUGCAACAAUCGAGACCGUUUUGGAUGGGAGCAUAUAUCGAGGAGCACAAGCUAACAUAAGUCUUCAUAGCUUAAAUCUGCAGGAAAACCAGUACAGUAAAAGUCAAAUUUGGUUAGAGAAUGGACCCCGUAAUGAACUCAAUAGCAUUCAAGUUGGUUGGGCAGUAAGUUACUAUCGAACUUUUGUUUUUUACAACUGAAAUAUGUGUUACUAUCAUUAAAAAAAUAAUAUAAAUGUGUUAUUAUCAUUAGAUUCACGUAUGAAUAUUUAAUGAACUUUUCACCUAGACUGUAGAAUAUUGAUUUUAAACUGUAAAAGAAUUUACUAUAAUUUUUUCUUCUCAUUUAAUUCUUACAGAUAUAUUAAUACAAAUGUAUAAAAUAUGUUAUAAAUUAAAUUUACAAUAAAAUUUUAUGGUUCCAACCAGUUAUCCACAUUAACAUGUAUUUUUGGAUAUAGUAUGUUUCAUCAUGUUUUUUAUAAUUUUCUUUAGGUACAUCCAAGAUUGUAUGGUGACACUCGCACGAGAUUUACAAUGUACUGGACCGUAAGUAAAUCAACUAUUUUAGCUAUUAUGUUUCUUUAUACAUUGCAAACCAUUAAACAGUUCGUGAUUAGUUAAAACCAAGUCUAGCCUUAGUCUUUCUCCUUCCAUAGUAUCUUGCCUUCUAAUUCUUUUUAGUAUAUCAGGCGGAUGGUUAUAAAAACUCUGGAUGCUAUAACAUACAAUGUCCUGGCUUUGUUAUUGUAACUCAAAUCCCUUGGAUUGGAAAAGCGUUUUCUAGAACCUCUAUUUAUGGUAGUAAUGAAUCAGUUUCUUUCACACCGCAAGUAUUCCAGGUAAAUUUCUAUACAAUAAAGCGCUUAUACAAUAAUGAUUUUUUUUUGAAAAAGAUGUUAAAAAUUCAAUUUUGUUUUAUUUCAUAAUAUUCUAAAAAAAAGUUCUUCUUUUAAAUUAAAAUUUUAGUGUUUUAUAUACAUUUUUACUAUUCACAAUAAGUUUUAAAUUUAUAAAAUAAUAAUUGUAUAUUGAUUUAGAAUUAUUUGAAAUAUUUAACUAUCGACAAUGAUAUAAUUAUAAUUAUGAUUGUAUUUUAUGAGCUUUUUAAUAAGUGUGAAGACACAAAACGGAUAUCUCUCGGGAAAAAAAAAUAUCUUAAUAAAAGUCAUCUUUUUAAAAAAGUAUUAUGCUUUAAAAUAAAAAAAAUACUCUUUAAAUAUUAAAAGUUUAAUGUUAAAAUACAUUUUCACCAUUCAUAUUAAUAAAUUGAAAAUUUCAAAUAAAAUCUGUAUACUUAUUUAAAAUUAUUUUAAAUAGUUAACUAUAGAAAAUGAUAUAUUUACAAUUAGAUUAAACCAUUCAGGCAUCUGAAAUAUGUUGAGAUGUGGCCUCAUAUUAUAUAUGUUUAGUUUUUAAUCCAGUUUCUCUUAGUGCAUCUAACCUUACUCCAAACAUCAUUUUGGAGUAAAAUAUGAUCCAACCUCACUUCAUUUUCAACUCCAAAAUAGAGUAAUGGCUAGGAUUACUCCUACAUAUUACUCCUCCAUUUUGGAGUUAAUUUUUUAUUUAUUUAUAGAAUUGUCUUUUAAAUUUUGAAAGUUUUUAUUUUGUACUUCAAAAAAAUAUUUUAAAAUAAUACAAAACAAUUAUAAUAUUUCAUAAGAUAUUAUUUAAUAAUUUUACAUAAAAGUUGCAUAAACUAAUAAAAAUACCAAACUAAACAUAAAAAUAUAAAAUAAAUAUAAAAUAAAAUAAGUGAUUUAAUAAUCUGGUAAAUCAUUUCUGGAAUUGCCAUGAUCGCUGAAGUAUUGUCCAAAUGAUGAAAAUGUUAAUUUUUUAAAAUUUUCUUGCCCAAUUUAAGAAAAUCAUGGAUAAAGAAACUCAUUAUUCAUUAGUUGAACAUUUGUGAGAAAAAAUAUUCUAAUACUCAUUAUUGAACCAAAAUAUUUUAUCGUAUAUAUAUUUUUAUGAUUUAUUGUACUUUUAAUAAGAAAUAUUUCAUUUAAAUAAAUUAUAUUUUGUGGAUUUUCUUAUAAACAUAAGAUACUUGGGGUUAAUCGGUAAGUUUUUGUAAGUAGAAGGUAUUAGUAACAAUUAUUUAUUAAAUAAAGAUAUAAUCUUUUUAGAAUAUUCAUUUGGAGUGAAAAUUGAGUAAUACAUUGGAGUAAAAUCUUACUCUACUUUGAUGUUGCACCAUUUUAGAGUAAAAUAUAGAGUAAUACAUUGGAGAUGCUCUUAGUUUUUCUUAUCUAAAUUCUAGAUAUUUACUUUUUGUUUCAAUAUUUAUUAGGAUGGCAUAAGUGGAAACUGGGGAUUAAAAAUACUCAACGAAGUAAUUGGUUACUGGCCCAAAGAAUUAUUUACACAUUUAAACGAAGGAGCAUCUUUAAUACGUUUUGGAGGAAACACAUUUAUGUCUCCGGAUGGAAUUAGUCCUCCAAUGGGAAAUGGGUAUUUUCCGGUUAUCGACUUUCAGAAAAGUUCAUAUUUUCUACAUGUCAAAGUUAAGAACUCGAACUAUCAAUUAGUUGAUAUUGAAGACGGGAAAACAAGACUUUAUUCAGAUUCGUACCAGUGUUAUAGAUUAACGUAUUGGGGUUAUUUCAAGUCGAAUGGAGUAUCCUUCUCCUUUGGAGGUCCAGGUGGAGACUGUGGUACUUGAUGUUUAUGAAUUUUCCAUAUGUAUUACCAACCAAAAUUAUCAAAUUUAAAAAGUAAAUAAAAUGUGACUAAACUAUGUUCAUUUUUCACUUUCACUCAAACUUCCUUGUGUGGUUGUUUUAAGACCUUAAAUACAUCAUCAUGCAUUCUUCAAAAUAAAAGAAACAACCACUCUACAUAAUCUAGUGCUCUCACCAGUCAAGAAGGCAAUCAAUGGAUCUCAAAUUUAUAAUUUAAGAAUCUGCAGGUCAUAUAAUAUAGAGAAUGUCUCUAACAAAAAAAACUCUUUAUUUGUACUGUAUAUUAGGACCAAGUAUUUGUAAAGCUUUAUCUAUAUAAGUAUUUAGAACCAAAUUGACUCUAACCCACUUCUACUUUUUUUUCUCUGUAAAAGUAUCUCCGACCGAUCAGGGCUAUAAAGAUAGAUGAGAUUUAAAUUUCCUAGCCUUGACAGACGGCAUAGCAUCACGAUCAGGGCUAUAAGGUAAGCCUCUCCAGAAGGCAUUAUCAUGUGCUCUAAGAUUUAUGCUUUACAUUUUUAGCUAUGGCUUUGAAAUUAUUGAAUCAAAUACUUAACAAAUCUCUUAUUCAAUCUCUCUAAAUGCUUUAGAAAAUUACUCAAAACUAAAGCUCACAAAACUCAUAUGUUAUGUCACACUUUGACAUCUCCACAUAUAUAAAAAUAAAAGUCCUAAACACACUAGAUAUAAGAUUUUUAGAUAACUCCUUAACAUCAAGGACUUUACUGUUUCUUAAUCCAUAACUCGGUAGAAAAUAGAUAACUUACUCUUCAAGUUAUUUCAAUCUUAAUCCAACAACUUAGACCCUCGAAAAAGUGAUUUUCAAGUGGUACGACAUUCCUGAGGUGAGUCAAAAGUGGGAUUCCUUCAGAGGUGGGGGGGAGGGGGAGGAGGAGGAGCGUAGAGCUGUAAGACCACAAGGAAAGAACUUAGAACAUUGAAUCUCCAAUGUACCAGAAUUUUUUUCCAAUAUCUUUUGUCCAAAUAAAUCAUUUAGGACCCUAUCUUACAUAGGGUUUGAUUGUUCGAAGCUGUGAUUUUAUGUUUUUUGCUCUAAGAUUUAUGCUUUACAUUUUUAGUUGUGGCUUUGAAUUUUUUUAUGUAGAUUUUUCUAAAGCAUUGAAUAAAAACUCUAGAGAAAUUGAAUUCCAAAGUUUCUACAGCUUCUUUCAAUCACCCCCAUAGAUUAGUAAGCAUAUUUAGAUAAAGUUCUAUAUGCUUUCAUUUACCCCACAUGUGAUUAAUAACACUCUUAAUUUGUUUGAAUGGGGCAAGAAAAAACAGGAGAUUAAUUCUGUAUGCAUUUCCACACCUCUUAAGUACACCUCUUCAGGAAUGAUCACUGAAGGAUUGACAGUAACAGCAGGUAGAAGAAGACCCUGCGUUUUGAGACUUCUAUCAACUUUGUUUCUUAUUUUUUCAACCUGAGGUGGACUAUGGUUUGAGAUAUUAUUUAUUGCAGAAGAUACAGAUGUUUGUAUCUCUCUGCUUGAAUUACCAGCCAAUUCCACAACAGCUGAAUAAUAAACCUUCUUUGACAGACCUAGGAUCUUAGCUGGUAAAGCCUUUGUUGAAGUGGAAGAACGCAGAAUAUAUAGAAUAAGAGCGAUUUUGUUUGGUCAGAACUUUGUUCCGUUUGAUCAGUGAAACCUUGAUUUGAAAGAGAAGAUUUGAGGACCAGUGUAACGACCCGCUUCCAAAGUUUUUUUUAAUUUUGAAGAAAAUAGAACACAAGAGGUUUUAUUCUAUAAAGAGUGUAUUUUCCUAAGUGUAGAAACACUUGUAAUCAUGAAAAUUGGGGUAAAAGAUGUAUUUUGACUAAGUGUCGGAUCUUAAAUGAGCUGAUGGAAUAAAGUCAGAACUGGCGGAGUGAUGGUAAACUGAUCAUGAAACGAUCAUAGCAUACAUAAAGAAAGAUCAAGACCAAUUAAGGAAUGUUCGGCUGUUGGACAAUGAAUGUUUCAAGUAAAGAAAAUUUGACUAGCCACCAUUGCAGGAUAAUACAAACGUAAGGUUGGAUCUACGUGAGUCAGGCAAAGAAAGAAUCGAAGAUAUCAAGUCAAGCCAUUGACGGUGAUAUUUGACCAAGCCAAAUAAGGAAAAUGACAUUAAGUGACCGGCUUGGUGAGGAAGUGACCUUAAUGGUUCUACACUAUGAGGUCAGGAAUUCGAUCCCAAGAAAAAGCAGAAUUAUACUAAUUAAUGGAGAGAAAGCUUACAAAAGAUCUGCAACAUGACGCAAGAAGUAACGUCAAGCGUGGAUCUCAUAGGACGUCUCAUGUGAUACAGUCAUGCAUGAGUCCUCAUAAGACAAGUAGAAUUAUCGGUUAUUGCCGGAACUCCUUAUGUUUUUUGGGGGAAAAAGUCCCAAAAUCGCUUUAUUUUCACUCUCCCUCUCGUUUUUUCCAGGUAAAAUAAGAAAUGAAAAAAUACGGUUCCAUGUAAUCCCGCAUGAUCCGUUUUGGGCCAUCCCGCAAAAGAUCCAGUCCCGUAAAGACCCGUCCUUCGAAGCCUGCAAAUUUACGGGCGUAGAAAACUUCGUCCCAAUAUCAUUCCGCGACAGUCUUUUACGGGUAAGGCCCGCGGUCCAAGUCCAUGAUUACAAUUUCUGAUAGUAAAUGAUAUGGUUUUAUAUAUUUCUUUUUUAAAACACUGAACAUAUAUGCAAAUGCAGAAUAAAAUCAUUUUUAUUUGCACAUUUCCUUUUCUUGUGGAAGAAAAGCAAAUUGAUUUUCUCUUCUUAUUCUCAUUAUUAAUUAAAAAGAAAAGAAAAAAACGAAACUAUCUCUUGUUCUGAUUACAACGUUCUUAUCAAAAGGAAGAACCUGACAAACCUGCCUAUAAAUAUUCGCGUUAUCUCCUAAGGCAUAUUCACUUUGGUUUAAGCAAAACAUUUUGAGAAAGAGAUGGAGAAGGAGAGGGGACAUGUAUUGGCAGUGCCAUAUCCAACCCAAGGACACAUUACACCAAUCCGCCAAUUUUGUAAACGACUCAUCUCUAAAGGUCUCAAAACCACUCUCACUCUCACCACUUUCAUCUUCAAAUCCAUCAAACCUGACCCAUCUGGUCCAGUCCCCAUAGCCACCAUCUCCGACGGCUAUGACGAUCACGGCUUCGACCCAUCUGGCUCCAUCCAUGACUACCUCCAAAACUUCAAAACCUUCGGAUCCAAAACCAUUGCAGACAUCAUCCGCAAACACCAGACAAGUGAUAACCCCAUCACUUGUAUCGUCUAUGAUGCUUUCAUGCCAUGGGCACUCGACGUGGCCCGAGAGUUUGGUUUAGCUGCAACCCCUUUCUUUACGCAGUCAUGUGCUGUUAACUUCGUUUACUAUCUUUCUUACAUAAACGAAGGAAUCUUGAAGCUUCCCGUUGUAGACUUGCCUUUUCUUGAGCUCCAAGAUUUGCCUUCUUUUUUGUCUGUUUCUGGAUCUUAUCCUGCUUACUUUGAGAUGGUGCUCCAACAGUUUACAAACUUUGAAAAAGCUGAUUUCAUACUCGUUAAUACCUUCCAAGAGCUGGAGCCUCAUGUUAGAUCUCUCUUCUUACAACUUUCUCAACCAUGUCGUUUUCUUGUUUAUGUCCUAAUUACUAUGUAUUUGUCCUAAUUACUCUUUUCCGUUACAGGAGAAAGAGUUGUUGUCAAACGUUUGUCAUGUAUUGACAAUUGGUCCGACUAUUCCAUCGAUGUACUUAGACCAAAGGAUCAAAUCAGACACGGCCUACGAUUUGAAUAUCUUUGAUUCAAAAGAUGCUGCCUUCUGCACUAGCUGGCUGGACACAAGGCCACAAGGGUCGGUGGUGUAUGUAGCAUUUGGUAGCUUGGCUGAGCUGAACAAUGCGCAGAUGGAGGAGCUUGCUUCAGCAGUAAGCAACUUCAACUUCUUGUGGGUUGUCAGAGGUUCAGAGGAGGCAAAACUGCCAUCAGGGUUUCUUGAGACAGUGGAUAAAGACAAGGGUUUGGUCUUGAAAUGGAGUCCUCAGCUUGAAGUUCUAUCAAACAAAGCCAUCGGUUGUUUCUUGACUCACUGUGGCUGGAACUCAACUAUGGAGGCAUUAACUUUUGGAGUUCCCAUGGUGGCUAUGCCUCAGUGGACCGAUCAACCUAUGAACGCAAAGUACAUACAAGAUGUGUGGAAGGCUGGAGUCUGUGUGAAGAUAGACAAUGAGAGUGGGAUUGCGAAGAGAGGGGAGAUUGAGUUUAGCAUUAAGGAAGUGAUGGAAGGAGAGAAGAGCGAAGAGAUGAAGGAGAAUGCGAAGAAAUGGAGAGACUUGGCUGUCAAGUCACUCAGUGAAGGAGGCUCUACAGAUGUUAACAUUGACACAUUUGUAUCAAAGGUCCAGAGCAAAUAAGUUAUCAGAUGAAGCAGCAAAUAUCUCUUCUAUAGUGUCUUAUUGUGUCAGUCUUUCGUUCAGUGCAAUUUUAUGUUGAUUCUUCAUUUGGUUACUUCCCAAUAUUACAAUGUUUUCUACCAUAUUGUCUUUGUUUUAAUAGAUUUUCUGCCUUCAUGUUUUUAUCAUCACUCUUCAGUACUAUCCAUUUUUUGAUUUAACUAUUUUGGCAUUUCAGUAACAACGAACAAGAACUAGGCUCAAUAGGCAGAUAUUGCUCCUAGUUCUCUUGCAUCACCAUGAAUGGCCAUCUUCUUCUGGCAUUUGACAUGUAGGAUUUCUAGCAACCAAGAGAUUUAUAUAUUCUUGCCUUCCACCUGAUUUGUUAAUUCUGUUACAACCCUGCCAUUAAGUUUGCGUCUGAAUCAUCAUCUACAUAUUAUUUGAAAGAGCCAAGAUUAUUAUUUUGAAACAAUCCCUUAACGUCAUCACUUUCGUCACUAAUCGAUGUCAUCUUAACAAAUAUUAAGCUGGGUUUGUUUUUGGUGUAAAUAAUCAAAUCACAUAUUACAAAUAAAUCAUUUAUUUUAUAAACGUGUUAUGAAUUUUUCUGGGAUAUGUUAGUAUUCUAUAUAAGCAACUAAUCUAUCAAAUAAAUUUUUAUUUCUCUUGAUACAUCAAAGUUGGUCAAACACAUAUAUUUUUCAUUAACAUUUUAUUUAUUUUAUAAACAUACAAUUUGUGUAAUAGAUUUAUAUUUGUGAGAUAUAAGUAUGUGAUCUAUUUGUGCGCAUAUAGCUAAUGUCAUAAUUUGUUUUGGUCAGAAAAAUUAUAUGAACUAAAUUAACGAUUAUAUUUGUAUCAUAUAUGUACAUGUAUAUACAACUGAUUUAAUAAAAAAGCAUAGUUGACGAUUUGAUUCGUUUAGCAGGUUGAUUGUUUAUAAGAAGGGAAAUUUGAUUCUAUAAUAAAAAUAAAAAAAAUAUAUAUAUAUAGAUAUAUAUCACCAACUAACCAUAUAUUUCUCUCUUUUUUUUUUUUACUUCCUAUCUUUCUCUACCCUCUUAUGACAAAUCUAAUAUUUUCUCCAAUAUAGCCAUUCAUCAAAUUAAUCCUUAUAAGAUUUGUCCUUUUUUUUAAUCAACAUAAGAAUUGUCUUUAGCUUCGCUUUUGCUUCAAAUGGUGUCUACUAGACAUUAAGCAAUGUCGUUACAGCUUACAACGGUUGGUCUUAAAUACUGAUCCACCAGAUAUAAAAAAAUUUGCAUAGACUAGCGUUGAAAUCAUCAAUCAAUAAAUAUAAAACAGAAAAAUUCAAAAUUGAUUUGGUGAAAGAUACAAAACAGUCACAUUCUAGAUAGCGAACUGUGAACUAGUGAAGAACACAAGAAGACGUGUUAUGAACAAAUCAUUUUUUAUUGUCGAUGUAUUCUUGUAGUAAUAUAAAUGUAAAGAAUCUUUUCACUUCUUACUUACUCCAUAUUCGGUUCUAUCUCUUAUUUUUCCAUCUCUUUAAGACUUAAAGAUCUUACUUCUCCAAAAAUAAUAAUACAGCGAAAAAACUUUCGAUUUUGUGUGUUUAUAUUUAAGAAACUAGGUGUUUUGCCCGCGAUGCGGGCUUAAACAUUUUCAUAAUUUUUAAAAAGUUCUUUGUACACUAUAUUUAUAAUUUUAGUAAAAAAUUUAUUUUAUUAAUAGUUAAUUAUAUAAUUUAUGUUUUUAACUUUUUACUAAAAUACUUUUUCAGAUAACGAUAUAAUAUAUAUAUAGAAAUUAUCUUUUUUUUAAUUAUAUUUUUAGAUUUUGGUUAAUUCAAUAUUUUAUUUUUAAUUAUAUAAUUAAGAAUUUUAUUUGAUUAAUAUUUAGUUAUAUAAUUCAUGUUUUUAACUUUUUACUAAAAGAUUUUUUCAGAUAACAAUACAAUAUAUACAUAAUUAUCUUUUUUUAAAUUAUAUUUUCAGAUUUUGGAUAAGUUUUUUUAUUAUUAAUAAUAAAUUAUCUAACCAAAUAGUUUUAAAUUCGUUUUUAUGUUUUAGUUAAUUUAUAGAUUUUAUUCAUUAAAGGUAUAAACGAUAUUAACCACUCUAACUUUUAACGUGAGAGCUCGAUUUUAAAAAUUUACUUCGCAAAUAAUAGUAUAGAUUACAUGUCAAGAAAUCUCACCUUUUUGAAAACAUGUAGAAACCAACUUCUGAACACAAACAUGAUUUCUCUUUUUAAGCAAAAAAAAACAUGAUUUCUCUUUCCAUAUACAGUCAUCGUGUCGUGUGUAUUUUUAAUUCAAAGUUGUUUAAAAUAUUAAAUAUUAUGAAAAUAUAUUUUUAAAAAAUAAGUAUUAUGGUUUUCAUUCUGUAAAAAUAAUAUACUGGACAUAUAAGCACAUGCAGAAUAAAAUAUUUUAUUAUUUACACUUCCUUUUCUUGUGGACAGAAAGCAAAUUGAAAUUUUCUUCUUAUUAUGUUUUUAUUAAAAGGAAAAGACAAAAACAAAACUACAUCUUGUUUUUAUUACAACGCUCUUAUCUUAAGGAAGAACCUGACAAACCUGUCUAUAAACUCAGCAGUAUCUCCCAAGGCAUAUUCAUUUUGGUCACAGCAAAACAUUUAGCGAGAGAGAUGGAGAAGAAGAGAGGACAUGUAUUGGCAGUGCCAUACCCAACCCAAGGACACAUCACACCAAUCCGCCAAUUCUGUAAACGACUCAUCUCGAAAGGCCUCAAAACCACUCUCACUUUCACCACUUUUGUCUUCAACUCCAUCAAACCAGAUCCAUCUGGUCCAGUCUCCAUAGCCACCAUCUCCGACGGCUAUGACCAGGGCUGCGAGUCACCUUACACCAUCCACGAAUACCUCCAAAACUUCAAAACCUUCGGCUCCAGAACCAUAGCAGACAUCAUCCGCAAACACCAGACAAGUGAUAGUCCCAUCACUUGUAUGGUCUACGAUGCUUUCAUUCCAUGGGC